rnacentral:rRNA from 1 species
AGGAUGAACGCUGGCGGCGUGCUUAACACAUGCAAGUCGAACGGUGAAAGAGGAGCUUGCUCCUCUGGAUCAGUGGCGAACGGGUGAGUAACACGUGAGUAACCUGCCCUUGACUCUGGGAUAAGCGUUGGAAACGACGUCUAAUACCGGAUACGACCUCCGAAGGCAUCUUCUGGAGGUGGAAAGAAUUUCGGUCAAGGAUGGACUCGCGGCCUAUCAGCUAGUUGGUGAGGUAAUGGCCCACCAAGGCGACGACGGGUAGCCGGCCUGAGAGGGUGACCGGCCACACUGGGACUGAGACACGGCCCAGACUCCUACGGGAGGCAGCAGUGGGGAAUAUUGCACAAUGGGCGCAAGCCUGAUGCAGCAACGCCGCGUGAGGGACGACGGCCUUCGGGUUGUAAACCUCUUUAGUAGGGACGAAGCGAAAGUGACGGUACCUGCAGAAGAAGCACCGGCUAACUACGUGCCAGAGCCGC